rnacentral:lncRNA from 1 species
GGCAGGAGAGGAUAGAGCUGCAAGAGUACCAUCAGUGGCUCCAUCAGCAGAGGUUCGGAUUAGGGAGAGAGUCACAGUCGAAUCCAAGCAGUCUGCAUUUAUGUUAGCCGUUCAUCCAGCAGAACGUUCUCGAGUGCAGUCGAGCUCCGACUUCCCAACAUUCUCAAGCACGGGCUGUCGAUCGGAGAUCGGGGGAAGGUGCCAGCAACUUCAGCCAAUGAUGGAUCAUUUGCAGGCCUUCCAACUCUUUUCGACAUUCGAAUCUCUAAGAGUGAGUCAGCCUUGGCCAAUCCGGCAUUGACCAAGUGGCUCAUCGAAGUUGCUCUUCUCCCA